rnacentral:rRNA from 1 species
GCCUGUAGCCGUUGUCGCGUCUGCUGUGAAAUUUCGAGGCUCACCCGAACUUGCAGUGAGUACGAGCAGACUAGAGUGUGGUAGAGAGACUGGAAUUCCUGGUGUAGCGUGAAAUGCGCAGAUAUCAGGAGGAACACCGAUGGCGAAGGCAGGUCUCUGAGCCACUACUGACGCUGAGAAGCGAAAGCAUAGAGAGCGAACAGGAUUAGAUACCCUGGUAGUCCAUGCCGUAAACGUUGGGAACUGGGUGUGGGUCUCAUUCCACGAGAUCCGUGCCGCAGCUAACGCAUUAAGUUCCCCGCCUGGGGAGUACGGCCGCAAGGCUAAAACUCAAAGGAAUUGACGGGGGCCCGCACAAGCGGCGGAGCAUGCGGAUUAAUUCGAUGCAACGCGAAGAACCUUACCAAGGCUUGACAUAUACCGGAAACAUCUAGAGAUAGGUGCCCCGCAAGGUCGGUAUACAGGUGGUGCAUGGUUGUCGUCAGCUCGUGUCGUGAGAUGUUGGGUUAAGUCCCGCAACGAGCGCAACCCUCGUUCUAUGUU